UGGCAGUUGUCAAAGACCAGGAGUGCGUCUGCCGCGAACUCCUCCGAGCUGGUGUACCUGGGCAGGAUGGAGGCAGAGCUGUGACAGAGCUGGCUACCUUCUACAUGGACAUAUUGAAUGGAGCCAGCCUCCAAGCCUACCCGGUGCCAGAGGGUUGAAGGGCUCCAGAGAGACUUCACUGAGGAUUGGAGUGUCUUCCAGUUGAUCAGGAAGAUGUGAAGGAUCAUCUAAGCAGCUCACUGUGGGGUCAGGGACCAAGACUGAGACCUCUUGGUGUAAUGAUUCCACAGAAGGGACAGAGCCAUUGUAGCCACACAUCUUCAGUUCUAGGAAAUCCCAGAAGAGGGCAAAAGUCAAAAUCAGGGCCUUAAACUGGUUCAUUCAGCUACAGUAGACAGCCAGUCUUUGCUAGAGGGAUGUUCAUUCUUUCAGUAAUUAGGGGUACCAGUUUUAUGUUGGAUUCCAAUCAUACCAAGAUACUCUAGUGAGCAGUGCUAGUAAAAUCCUAUUGCAGGUAAAGAGAAGGGAGAAGAGAGUGGGGUCUGAGACAAGAACCCUGUCAUGUUCUCAGCUAUUUCCCCCAUCUACUGGGAACAGGUGGUAAACAGAGAAAAUACCCUGGGAUUUUACAGGGUGGUCACCCUUAUAUGUGGAAUCAAUAGCAAACUAAGCAUUUAUCUAUUUUGAGGACAGAGAUAAGAGGGAUUGUCACAUGUACCAGUGCUAACAACAACAACAAGCAACAGGAAGCUGAGUAAACAAGCAAUGGUAUACUC